rnacentral:siRNA from 1 species
UAGGCCCUCCACUAGUAGAUCC